rnacentral:rRNA from 1 species
GGCUCAGGACGAACGCUGGCGGCGCGCCUAAUACAUGCAAGUCGAGCGAGAAGGUGUAGCAAUACACUUGUAAAGCGGCGAACGGGUGAGGAAUGCAUGGGUAACCUACCCUCGAGUGGGGAAUAACUAGCCGAGAGGUUAGCUAAUACCGCAUACGUUUCCGGAACUUCGGUUUCGGAAAGAAAGCAAUACCGUGGGUAUUGCGCUCCUGGAUGGGCUCAUGUCCUAUCAGCUUGUUGGUGAGGUAACGGCUCACCAAGGCUUCGACGGGUAGCUGGUCUGAGAGGACGAUCAGCCACACUGGCACUGCGACACGGGCCAGACUCCUACGGGAGGCAGCAGUAAGGAAUAUUGCGCAAUGGACGAAAGUCUGACGCAGCGACGCCGCGUGGGGGAUGAAGGUCUUCGGAUUGUAAACCCCUUUCGGGAGGGAAGAUGGAGUGGGUAACCACUUGGACGGUACCUCCAGAAGCAGCCACGGCUAACUUCGUGCCAGCAGCCGCGGUAAUACGAAGGUGGCAAGCGUUGUUCGAAUUCACUGGGCGUACAGGGAGCGUAGGCGGUUGGGUAAGCCCUCCGUGAAAUCUCCGGGCCUAAACCGGAAAGUGCAGAGGGGACUGCUCAGCUAGAGGAUGGGAGAGGAGCGCGGAAUUCCCGGUGUAGCGGUGAAAUGCGUAGAGA